CCUACGGGAGGCAGCAGUAGGGAAUAUUGGGCAAUGGGCGCAAGCCUGACCCAGCAACGCCGCGUGAAGGAAGAAGGCUUUCGGGUUGUAAACUUCUUUUCUCAGGGACGAAGCAAGUGACGGUACCUGAGGAAUAAGCCACUGCUAACUACGUGCCAGCAGCCGCAGUAAUACGUAGGUGGCAAGCAUUAUCCGGAUUUACUGGGUGUAAAUGGCGUGUAGGCGGGACUGCAAGUCAGAUGUGAAAACCACGGGCUCAACCUGUGGCCUGCAUUUGAAACUGUAGUUCUGGAGUAUUGGAGAGGCAGACGGAAUUCCUAGUGUAGGGGUGAAAUGCGUAGAUAUUAGGAGGAACACCAGUGGCGAAGGCGGUCUGCUGGACAGCAACUGACGCUGAGGCGCGAAAGCGUGGGGAGCAAACAGGAUUAGAUACCCCUGUAGUC
rnacentral:rRNA from 1 species